rnacentral:rRNA from 1 species
GACGAACGCUGGCGGCGUGCUUAACACAUGCAGGUCGAACGAAGAGCGAUGGAAGCUUGCUUCUAUCAAUCUUAGUGGCGAACGGGUGAGUAACGCGUAAUCAACCUGCCCUUCAGAGGGGGACAACAGUUGGAAACGACUGCUAAUACCGCAUACGAUCUAAACUCGGCAUCGAGGAUAGAUGAAAGGUGGCCUCUACAUGUAAGCUAUCACUGAAGGAGGGGAUUGCGUCUGAUUAGCUAGUUGGAGGGGUAACGGCCCACCAAGGCGAUGAUCAGUAGCCGGUCUGAGAGGAUGAACGGCCACAUUGGGACUGAGACACGGCCCAGACUCCUACGGGAGGCAGCAGUGGGGAAUCUUCCGCAAUGGACGAAAGUCUGACGGAGCAACGCCGCGUGAGUGAUGACGGCCUUCGGGUUGUAAAGCUCUGUUAAUCGGGACGAAAGGCCUUCUUGCGAAUAGUGAGAAGGAUUGACGGUACCGGAAUAGAAAGCCACGGCUAACUACGUG